AUAGAACGGCAUAGUAGAACAGUUCUAAAUUUGACAGUAGAACUGUUCGGAUAAAUAAAACUGAAACGGCUUGCUGGGGAUACGUUUGUUUCAGUUUCAGUUAUAUUUUAGACCACCCAUAUGAAUCUUGCAACCGCUGAAGUUGCUCUAAGGUUUACGUGAAUUGACCAAACGUCAAACAAUCUAAGUGAAUUUCCGGUGUGAUUUCGAUUUUGAAAAUGACGAACACUGGCCCUCAAAGUCAUGAAAAUUUUCAUGUGUUCAACUGGACCGAAUGCCUGCGUAAGUCCGAAAAUGUGUCCGCUCCUGUCGAAUGCUUAAAACAGGCCGUUGGUUCACCGAAAAACGAGUUCAACAUCGGUAUGAAAAUAAAGACACUGGACCCAUAUAAUGCGACCUCAACCUGCAACGGUAGUGUUGUGUGAGUUCUCGGAUCUCGACUUCGGCUUCGGUUGGAUGGCAGUGACAAUAAAAACGAUUUCUGGAGGCUUGUCGAUUCGGGAUCUCAUGACGUUAUUAGUUUUCAGCCAUUGAAAUUCUAUGCUAAUUUUCUGAAAUAAAUAGUUUAUUUUCCAUGGUA